UGAACGCUGGCGGCGUGCCUAAUACAUGCAAGUCGAGCGAACGGACGAGAAGCUUGCUUCUCUGAUGUUAGCGGCGGACGGGUGAGUAACACGUGGAUAACCUACCUAUAAGACUGGGAUAACUUCGGGAAACCGGAGCUAAUACCGGAUGAUAUUUUGAACCGCAUGGUUCAAAAGUGAAAGACGGUCUUGCUGUCACUUAUAGAUGGAUCCGCGCUGCAUUAGCUAGUUGGUAAGGUAAUGGCUUACCAAGGCAACGAUGCAUAGCCGACCUGAGAGGGUGAUCGGCCACACUGGAACUGAGACACGGUCCAGACUCCUACGGGAGGCAGCAGUAGGGAAUCUUCCGCAAUGGGCGAAAGCCUGACGGAGCAACGCCGCGUGAGUGAUGAAGGUCUUCGGAUCGUAAAACUCUGUUAUUAGGGAAGAACAUAUGUGUAAGUAACUGUGCACAUCUUGACGGUACCUAAUCAGAAAGCCACGGCUAACUACGUG
rnacentral:rRNA from 1 species